UCCACCCGCUGGAGGUUCUCUGUGUAAAUUGACGUGGGCUGCUCGAAGUGUCGGUCAGAUAUAGAACACUGGAGGCUCGCUUCUGUGACAUUUCCCGAACCACGGCUGCUGAAUCUGUCUCCACGGUAGCCUCUCCUGAGCAAUCCUAACCAUCAUCCUUCAAUUCCUUGGACUCUAACGACACAGACAUCAUUUCUGAUUUCCCUCCAGAAAACGCCAGAGGUUGGAUGCAGAAGCUAAGCAAUUGAUGGAAUCCGUUCUUACCAACAAACCUGGUGGGGAACGUGUAAUAAAUUAAUACAACCCAACCAAAUCCUUGAUGGAUGAAACCAGACGAAAAAUGGUGAACAUACUGGCAGCUGACAUGACAGAAAAUAAUGGUACAUCCCCACCCAGACAAGUGAAAGAAAUCCCCAAAAAAUCCAAGCAGCACUACUAUGAUAGUGAGAGUGGAACUGGGUACUUGGCCUGUAGGAUUGAAAGUAUUCAGAGAGGCACCGCUAAAGACAAGCAAUCGUCGUUUAGAGAAUCAGCCAAAGAAUCAUCUGGUGAAGACAUGUCUGGAGGACCAACUGUCAGACGAGUGUCCGAAACAUUCAGACACGGU